rnacentral:rRNA from 2 species
UAGGGAAUCUUCGGCAAUGGACGAAAGUCUGACCGAGCAACGCCGCGUGAGUGAAGAAGGUUUUCGGAUCGUAAAACUCUGUUGUUAGAGAAGAACAAGGACGUUAGUAACUGAACGUCCCCUGACGGUAUCUAACCAGAAAGCCACGGCUAACUACGUGCCAGCAGCCGCGGUAAUACGUAGGUGGCAAGCGUUGUCCGGAUUUAUUGGGCGUAAAGCGAGCGCAGGCGGUUUCUUAAGUCUGAUGUGAAAGCCCCCGGCUCAACCGGGGAGGGUCAUUGGAAACUGGGAGACUUGAGUGCAGAAGAGGAGAGUGGAAUUCCAUGUGUAGCGGUGAAAUGCGUAGAUAUAUGGAGGAACACCAGUGGCGAAGGCGGCUCUCUGGUCUGUAACUGACGCUGAGGCUCGAAAGCGUGGGAGCAAACAGG